rnacentral:rRNA from 1 species
GCUGGCGGCAUGCUUAACACAUGCAAGUCGAACGGUAGCACAGAGAGCUUGCUCUCGGGUGACGAGUGGCGGACGGGUGAGUAAUGUCUGGGAAACUGCCUGAUGGAGGGGGAUAACUACUGGAAACGGUAGCUAAUACCGCAUAACGUCGCAAGACCAAAGAGGGGGACCUUCGGGCCUCUUGCCAUCAGAUGUGCCCAGAUGGGAUUAGCUAGUAGGUGGGGUAAUGGCUCACCUAGGCGACGAUCCCUAGCUGGUCUGAGAGGAUGACCAGCCACACUGGAACUGAGACACGGUCCAGACUCCUACGGGAGGCAGCAGUGGGGAAUAUUGCACAAUGGGCGCAAGCCUGAUGCAGCCAUGCCGCGUGUAUGAAGAAGGCCUUCGGGUUGUAAAGUACUUUCAGCGGGGAGGAAGGCGAUAAGGUUAAUAACCUUGUCGAUUGACGUUACCCGCAGAAGAAGCACCGGCUAACUCCGUGCCAGCAGCCGCGGUAAUACGGAGGGUGCAAGCGUUAAUCGGAAUUACUGGGCGUAAAGCGCACGCAGGCGGUCUGUCAAGUCGGAUGUGAAAUCCCCGGGCUCAACCUGGGAACUGCAUUCAAAACUGGCAGGCUAGAGUCUUGUAGAGGGGGGUAGAAUUCCAGGUGUAGCGGUGAAAUUCGUAGAUAUUUGGGAAAGAACACCGGUGGCGAAUCGGCAACCUGGCUCAUUACUGACGCUGAUGCGCGAAAUCGUGUGGAGCAAUAGGAUUAGAUCCCCUGUUAUUCUA